GCCUUCGUGGUGUAGUGGUCAGCACACUCGACGUGUAACCGAGAGGUCCGUGGUUCGAUUCCCGGCGAAGGCG
rnacentral:tRNA from 1 species